AUUGAACGCUGGCGGCAGGCCUAACACAUGCAAGUCGAGCGGGGGAGGUUGCUUCGGUAACUGACCUAGCGGCGGACGGGUGAGUAAUGCUUAGGAAUCUGCCUAUUAGUGGGGGACAACAUUCCGAAAGGAAUGCUAAUACCGCAUACGCCCUACGAGGGAAAGCAGGGGAUCUUCGGACCUUGCGCUAAUAGAUGCGCCUAAGUCGGAUUAGCUAGUUGGUGGGGUAAAGGCCUACCAAGGCGACGAUCUGUAGCGGGUCUGAGAGGAUGAUCCGCCACACUGGGACUGAGACACGGCCCAGACUCCUACGGGAGGCAGCAGUGGGGAAUAUUGGACAAUGGGCGGAAGCCUGAUCCAGCCAUGCCGCGUGUGUGAAGAAGGCCUUUUGGUUGUAAAGCACUUUAAGCGAGGAGGAGGCUCUUAAGGUUAAUACCCUUGAUGAGUGGACGUUACUCGCAGAAUAAGCACCGGCUAACUCUGUGCCAGCCGCCGCGGUAAGAC
rnacentral:rRNA from 1 species